CGAGGAAUUCUACACUGUCACACUUACACCACGUCAUCAAUAACAAGCCAAUCACAUUCCUUCUUUUCAAACAAAAGUAUAAUAAAAAUACUUUUUUACAAUUAUGAUGGGACAUAUAUUCUUAAAAGGAUUAAUUUGAUUGGUUUGUUACGCCACGUCACUAAUAUACCCGUUGCAUUCUAGAAUUUUUCAUGAGCCCCACCACUCCUGGUUAUUAUCAAAAAGACCACUUUACCCUUCCCCUUC
rnacentral:lncRNA from 1 species